GGAGAAGGAGAAGAAGACGGAGGAGGAGGAGGAGGAGAUGAUGGAGGAAGUGAACGUGUCAUUGGGGGCCCUGCCCACUCUCUCUCCCCCCCCCCGUCCCCCACCAGUCAGACAGUAUGAUCAAGUGGUACCACUGGAAGAUCUCACCAUGCUCAGAAAAGGGAGGAGAAAGGAAGACUGAACCUGAGUGAGAGGAUACUGGAGGAACCCAAGAAAUGAAUCAACCAGCAACUAGGUGACAUCCCUUCCAAUACCUGAAGACAGCUAUCAUGUCUCCUCUUCUAAGUUGUUUUUUUUUUCCCCAAGUUCCUUCAAACAAUCCUCAUGUGGCAGGGCCAGAACCUUUUCCUACCGUGGAGCCCUUUCCAAAACGUGGUUCGUGGAAGUGGGCCCAUCACCUCCUCAUCCUUAGAGCUUGCAGAACACUCAAGUUCUUAGAUCUUUUUGUCUGACUAUGCCUCUCUUUUUUCCUUUCCACCUGCUACUUUUGAGGCUGAAUUUUUCAACUCAAUGAUAAGACUCUAUUAAACUUAUCUUUAUAAAAUGUCAUCUUAACAGAUGGGACUUAUUGUUCUAAGCUGCCAAGAUCUUUUUGCAUACCAUCAGCCAAUGUCUUAACUAGCCUGCUGAGCAAUUUUUAUAAGCAUGCCAUCCAAGUUAUUAAUAUCAAAAUGUUAAACCCCAAAGGCUCAGCAAAGACAGAUCCCAGGACACUAAACAAAGAGGCAUUCGCUCCCCUCUCUGCCUCCUAGGUAAAUCUGUGGUCAUACUUCUUUGGUCUACAAAACAGGUAUCAGAUUAUUUCCUUCCUCUUCCUAAAAUGGAUAAAGAAUAACUAUCCCCAUACAUUUGGGAUGUUUGUGAGUGCUGCAUUAUAGAUUGUUAUAUUUCCUCAUCUCCAAGAGAAGCGCUCUAUAAACCCAAUGUAUUCUUAUUUAGGAAAAUCACAUUUGCAAUGGAGCCUUUGAACAAUUCCAAAUGAAUUCCUAGAGUAUUUCCCUUCCCUGGUUUAAGGGCCAACCUACCUGCAGCUAAAUUGAUUUCUAAAUCGAUUUUUCUUUUGGUCCAGAUGAGUGAGUUGUAGGGUAUCCUGGGUAUCAGUUUCCUCUGCAUCCAACUCAGAAACUCAUCUGUAAUUUAUUCUUCAGGAAUUGCCUGGGGGCACUAAGAGGUUAAAGGGACUUGUCCCUGGUCUGUAGGAGUCAGAGAAAGAACUUGAACCCAGCCCUUCUUGACUCCAAGACUGGCACACUCCCUAUCUGGGGGGUGCCCCAACGUCUUGGUACAGUUUUCAGCUUUGAUGACUACAUAAGUAUAAAUGCUACAAACUGACAAAAACAUUGGAAAGGUUAUUGACAUUUUGAAAAUUUUGCUAUGUUUCUUACUAAAACUCACCCAAACCACCAUCUUGGGUUACAGAUUUCUCUAGUCAGUUUUCAAACACUUUUGCCCAUUGCCUCUCAGUGACCGAAAAGGAUUCUGUUUGUAAUACUAGCCUUAAGGUCACCUGAAGAACAAGGUUUUGAUGCAUGUGUGAGAAUUUUGACAUGACUCCAUGAGAAAAAGCCUAAUGUCAGUCCAUCAGGUGCUCCAGGCAGCCAAAGAAGAGGACACCCUCGACUAAUCCCAGGUUUAUUAAAGUGUCAAUCAGAAAAUAGCACACACACAGUGUACAAUGACAGCAUGUUCUGUCUGGUUACAAAUUAAAAUGAAAAAUUAAUUAUUCAGAAUUCCCAAAAACCAAGUGUGAAAGAAUUUAAAUGACUAAAUUUUCAAAUGUUCUUUAAAAAUGUAGUAUUUAAACUCUGAAAGUUAUUAAAGCUUAAAACAGCACUAAGACUUUGGGGAUAACCAAUAUAAAUUGAUAUUUACUAAUGUUAACUUUUUGGUUCAUCAACAAAAUCACUUUGUUGAUAUGUUCAUUCAACAAACAUUUAUUAGGUACCUAAUAUGUACAAAGCAGUGUGUUCUGGCUGCUGUGGGGCAUAGAUUAAUGGCUACUUUAUUUUCUGUUCGGUAGAGGAAGAAAAACAAUGACAACUCAGCAUAUGAGAAAGGCAGGGCCUGGAUGAGAGAGUGCUCCUGGUCCCUUCCAGCUCUAAACCCUGCCAUUUUACAAGUGACCUGGUUUGUUGUUUUUUUAAAUGAAGGGGUUGUUCGUCCAGAACAUCUGUCCAAGGUCUAUUCUUUAUCAUAAUGAAGGAAUAAAAAGGUAUUUAUUGAGGGCAAAGCACUGGGGAUGCAAACAGCUUUCAAAUGAGUCCUUUAAUGGAUCUGGGACUUGGCAUUCCGUCCACUGAUGUAAGGGAGCAUAACCCAUUAAUGCCUCCCCAUCCGUUGGGGUUCUUGUCCAGAUCCUCCAUAAGGGAUCCACCUAAAAUGCCUUUCUCUAGCUCUCCUGACGUGGCAUGGACACAAGAGGGACAUAUGAAUUUUCCAGUGGUUUUCCCUCAUUCUACCUAUGUGGCUGACAGCUUUCUCCAAGCACAAGCUUUUCAAGCUGACCAAUAAUCAUACAAUAAUACUUGCCAUUUACUAUUAAAUUAAGGUACCCUUUCUUUGCUGUGAGCCCUCUGCUAAAGUCUGUAGAGAAAGAAUCACAUCUAAUUUAAUUUAACCACCCCCCCCAACCCCAAACAACAGCUCCCUAAUCUGAUUACUUCCACAAUCUUCCCCUGGAUGUUGCUAGCCAGCCACAUUCUUCCUACAAAACUCAAUGGCUUCGAAGGCGACUCCAAAAGAGGAAUUUCAAGAAUGUUUAAAGUAAUGUUAGAUUAGGUAUCCAGGAUGCAUUCUGGUAUGUUUGUUAGAAACAACAAAACAAAUCUCACCAAAACAAACACCCCUCCCCCCAACCAAACACAAAGACAAAAACACACAACAGUCUCCUUACUUUAUAAUCACAUCUCAUAUUCAUCUUAUGUCCAAAUUAGAAUUACAUGGGCUUUUGGGUACCAUACUAAAUCUUUGUCCUAUGAAAUUCUGCAAAGUGAUCUGAUUUUAUCAUCUUAGCUGUAUUAUGUGAAAAUUUCAAUGACUUAUUUACUGAUACGACUGAGUUUGUUCUCCACAUUUAUUACCCACCUCAAACACGAAGUGGAAGGCAGGCCAAGUGCCGAUGCCUUAACACCCUUGUUUCCAUGACUGCCUUGUCCUGGGGGUGUUCUAGGAAGAAGAGUCUGGAUGCUGCAUUCCCACCCUUGAUGUGCUGCCUUCGGGAAAGCCCCAGGCCUCAAGGAGAACUACUAACAGGACCACUGUUUGACAUGAGCAACAGCAA